rnacentral:tRNA from 2 species
UCCGCCCGCACCGGGGUGCGGUGGUGGCGCGGCUGUCGACCGAGCGGCUGCACGAGUUGUUCGAGGCGAUGGGCGAGC